rnacentral:rRNA from 1 species
GACGAACGCUGGCGGCGUGCUUUACACAUGCAAGUCGAACGGUGAAGGUGGAGCUUGCUCCGCCGGAUCAGUGGCGAACGGGUGAGUAACACGUGGGCAGCCUGCCCCUGACUCUGGGAUAACUACUCGAAAGAGUAGCUAAUACCGGAUAUGAAGUCUGUAGGCAUCUAUGGAUUUGGAAAGUUUUUCGGUUAGGGAUGGGCCCGCGGCCUAUCAGCUUGUUGGUGAGGUAGUGGCUCACCAAGGCGACGACGGGUAGCCGGCCUGAGAGGGCGACCGGCCACACUGGGACUGAGACACGGCCCAGACUCCUACGGGAGGCAGCAGUGGGGAAUAUUGCGCAAUGGGCGAAAGCCUGACGCAGCAACGCCGCGUGCGGGAUGAAGGCCUUCGGGUUGUAAACCGCUUUCAGCAGGGAAGAAGCGAAAGUGACGGUACCUGCAGAAGAAGCACCGGCUAACUACGUGCCAGCCGCCGCGGUAA